rnacentral:rRNA from 1 species
UACAGAGGGGGCAAGCGUUAUUCGGAAUUAUUGGGCGUAAAGGGCGCGUAGGCGGCCAUUCAAGUGACGGGUGAAAGCCCUCGGCUUAACCGAGGAACUGCCUGUCAGACUGGGUGGCUCGAGACCGGGAGAGGUGAGUGGAAUUCCCAGUGUAGCGGUGAAAUGCGUAGAUAUUGGGAGGAACACCAGUGGCGCAAGCGGCUGACUGGCCGAGACCUGACGCUGAGACGCGACGGCGUGGGGAGCAAACCGG